UAAAAAGCAAGUUCUUCUUUUUAUCCAUGAGGGUGCCUGUUAGGGUUGGAGGGUAAGAGACACAGCCCAUCUGUCUUUUUUCACUCCUCCCACUCAGUGUGCUAACCUCUUCGGCAGAGCAGGACCAUGGGAACAAUAGAAACACUGGGUUUUCUAAAACUGCGCUCUGUAAAGGAUUGAUUGGUGACUUGACAAAAACUACAUCUGCUUGACAUUCUCUGGAGAAAUGCACAAGGCCACACAGAAAAAUAUCCCCUACUUCCAAGAGGAUUUCUCUAUGCAGCACCCACUGUCCUAGAGUACACUGUGUAGACCAGGUUUGCCUCCUGAGGCCUGGCAUUAUAGAUGUACAACACCAAGUCGGCUUGCCUCUCUGAAGGUAUGACAAUUCUCUUAAAGAGCCCCCAGAACCGCAGUUUUUCUAAGCAGGCUUAAUGAUAUAUAUACCUUUUUACAUUUGUUUAUUUCUGUGUGGAUGAGUGUUUUGUUCUCAUGUGGGUAUGUGUACCAUGGGCAUGCCUGGUGCCCUUAGGAGUCAGAAGAGGUCAUGGUUGUGAGCCAUCGAGUAGGUGCUGGGAACUGAACUCCGGUCUUCAGCAGGUGCUCUUAACUGCUGAGCCAUCCCUCCAGCCACCAAGUGUGAAUUUUAAGAACAUUUUUUGGCAGUCCCAUGAUCACAUUUACCUUCCACCACCUUCCCACCCUCCCUGCAACCCCAGCCUUGCGCGGCUGUCACAGCUGCUGUGUUGAUGAUUGUAGUGGUCAAGUCAUACCCAGGUGACAGAGUCCCACUGCACUCUUCCACAGACUUUCCACCCCGUCUUCCACAGUGUUCCUGGGCCUCAGGGAGGGUGACAUAGAUGUCCUGUUUGGGACUGAGUGCUCAGCAGUCACUUCAUCUCAGCACUUUGGUCCCUUUAUGAGUCCCUACUUUAAUCACUUCCAAAAGAGGCUUCUCUGGCCAAGCCUGAGAGCCCCCCCCCCCCCCCCCCCCCCCGUGCAUGGUUGCAAGCACAAACGAUGAGAAGGCAGCUUAAUUCCGUGUGUCUCCUUGGUGUAGCAUUAGUAGAAGGUCCUCCCAAGGGCCCUGUGAUUUCCUUCCCUAGCUAUAGCGGUAGUUCAAUGACAGCACCGACUCUGUCAUCCCUUCUGUGAAGUAGGCCUUAAAUCCAAGCUGGCAAGGGUUGGGUCCCCCAGAACAUUCAUACCACCAUGGUCCUGCUGUGGGUCUCUAGCCGGGCAGAUCAGUACUGCAGAGUGCUGGGUGGGGUUGUUAGUGACGUUUCUUCCCUGGCAGCCUGCAUAGUACCAUCCAGCUCUGUGAUGCCAGACAGAGGGGAAGGAGCUCAGCUCCAGCUUGGUUUCUGUGUCCUGUAUCCAGAGUGUGGGUGUCUUCAGCAAUCAGCUCUUACUGUCCAGUUCUGCAGGGCAUACGAGAGCAAUGGGGAUGGACUGUGUUGUGUCAGGGGCUGUCUGCAGGCUUCCUCACCAACAGCCCAUGGGGCAGUAUCCUGUUGUUGUUGUCAUUUUUUUUUAUUCUUUGUUCUUUGGGCUCUUUUGGGGGCCUGCCACCCAGCUCCCAAAUAAAUCACACAUGGAGACUUAAUUCUUAUUUACAAAUGCCCGGCCUUAACUUGGCUUGUUUCUAGGCAGCUGUUCUUAAAUUAUUAUCCCGUAUACCUUUUGCCUCUGGACUUUUACCCCUUUCUAUUUUGUAUAUCCUUUCUUUCCUCUUUUUCUGCAGCUGGCUGUGUAGCUGGGUAACUGGCCCCUCAGUCCUCUUCCUACUCUUGCUCCUUGCUUCCCCAGCACCCUUUUUCCUCCUAUUUAUUCUCUCUCCUGCCAGCCCCACCUGUCCUUUCUCCUGCUUUGCUAUUGGCCGUUCAACUCUAUUAGACCAUCAGGUGUUUUAGACAGGCAAAGUAACACAGCUCCACAGAGUUAAACAAAUGCAGCAUACAAGAAUGGGACACAUCUUUGCAUUAUUAAAACAAAUAUUCUGCAGCAUAAACAAAUGUAACACCUCUUAAAAUAAUGUUCUACAACAGUAUCCCUCACUUGGCAAGAGGGUUUUGGAUCCCAGUGACUUCUGGGAGCAGUACUGAUGGCUCAUGCAGUUUCUCCAUCCAAAUAUCGCCUUAAAUUUUUUUAAGUUAGCUUAGUUAUAAGGGAGUGGGUUUCUAAGUAUUUUUUGCAUAGUGCUAAUUUUUGUUGACUUUCCUUUAGCCCCUCUGCCCCCUAGUUUUAUCCCCUUCUACUUCCAAGUGAGAAAAACACGGAGUACCCCACAAAUGUCGCCUUGUGCAGGAGCCAUGCCGGUCUUCUUUGUUUUGUUCCAAUUUCACUGUUUGUGCUGCAGAAGCAGAUAUGGAAAUGGGAAUUUUUGUAUGAUGUUUAGGCAUCUGAGAAGGCAACCACGGUACGAAUCUUGGGAUUUCCUGAAGUCUUUCUUCAAAUCUCUCUUCAGGUCUGCAAGCGGUCUGUGGUAAGAAAACCUGGAGGCUCACAGGGUCCAUGGUCUCCUGCCUUCCUUUUCAUUUGGUUUGGUCACACGCUUGAGAGGGUUUUUAGUUUUUAGUCUGAGACGGGCUCCCUAGGCCACCUUGACUGGCUUGGAAUUUUCUAUGUAAAAUGGUAUGGCCUCAAACGCAGAGCUCCACCUGCCUCUGCAUCCUGAUUACUGGGAUUAAAGGCGUGCGCCACUGUGCCUGGCCUUUCUUGAGUUUUACUCAGAACCGAUACAAUACUACUUCCAGUAUGAUCCGUAAAACCUCUGCCAUCUGCGGUGUUCUCUUUUCUUCCAGGCCGGCUGGGAAGAUGAGUCCCAGGAGAACCGUGGAAACCCCAUGUUGCACAAGGGCGGGGCCUCCAUCUCUUCCCCUUCCCUGACCGGCUGCUCUGCCAGCUUCUUCACAUGUUCUUUACUGUUUUUUGAGCAAGAAAUGAACUUCUGCUGGGUCUGUUGGCAUGCUUUUCCGUAUCUGUGGGCCAUUUGGAUCUUUUGUACUCUGUAGUAGCACUUACUUGGAUAUUAAUAGUCAUACACUCUAAGUGAUUUCCCGGUUUCUUAUUAUAUUUGAAACUUUUAAGAUGGUGUCUUUGUUAUUUUUACCUUUAUGAAGCAUCUGCCAAUCUUUUGUCUUCACCCUGAGACAAAUCUUCCUACUUCAAGGUUGGACAUACAGCCUCUUCAUUUUCUUCUGCAUACAAAUGUGUGGACAAAGCAGAGACAAUCAAGGUCCAGCCAGCUCUCAGCCCUCCCUCAGUCAGCACCCAGCCAGACUUGAAACCCAGCUUGCCUUGGGAUUGAGUGUAGUCGUGCUUUUAACAGAGCUCUGCCGAAAGGAGUGUGUCGAGAAUAGAAAGGCAGUGUUUGGGGCUGGCCUGGCUCGUAUACUCCUCUCUGUUGUCUGACUGGGAGGCUGACGAGUCGUCUGCUGAAGAUGGAGGGACCUGGAUAUGGAAAUAACAGGAGCAGACAUUGGUGCCUUACACACCGCGGUGAAGGCGAAUGGUAGCCAUUGCUGCUUUCGGCACACCUUGUUUUUUCGCCAGUUCUGAAAGUGACACAGAGGAUGACAAAAGCUCGGAUUGCAGAAGAUGGAUGAAAGCCAUUUUAACUAGCACAACAGUUUGCGGCUACGAGAACGGCUCCGUGAGUGUAGAAGCCGCUCCUCACCAACCAUGCGGUCACGAUGCAUCUAACGAGACUGGGCACUAAUGGCCCUGGGAACAAUGAGGCAAAUUACCAAGUUCCACUAAAAUGUUUCUCCACUUAUCUUCAAUUAUUCAGACCCAAUCUAAUUUCCUUCAAAAUUAAAUGCGGUGGCUCCAGUUAACUUGUGCGACUGAACGUUUAACAACUGUCCCUGCACGUGACUUUGCUGAGAAAGGACGGGCAGGCUACUCCACAUCGGCUCUGAAACACAGCAGUUCCCUGGACAUGUUAAGACAGCGGGUCACAGAAGGCGCAUAGCUGGGCAUUGUCCCCGAAUGCUAAGACUUAAGGAGUCUCUAAACUACCCUCUUCCCAACUGUGCUGCCCUCCAGCCAUCUAACCGCUUCUUCAGCAGCUACCCCAAGCUCCUGGCCACUUUUGUCUAAACCACUAGGUACCUGGACACAGACAAAGCAAAGACCUGAGGUGAAAGUCUGGGAGGACAGAGCACUUAGGAGUAACAUGCACAUUCGGUUUUCACAGGCAGCUGUCACAGAGCUGUCACCCACAGCUGGAUGUCGGGGAGGGGGGCGCACUUCUGGGAUCUACAUCCAGGAGCCAGGCACAGCUAGUUGUCAGGGAAGAACGGUGAAUAGCUUGGUGCUCCUCCCAGCUGGGCUUCUGUGGACGUUAGGGGCCACUGACCUGAGUGCCUCCUAGUUCUCCUCUCCUUCUUUAUCUCCUGUUGCUUUUUCUGUAACCUGCUCUUUCCUGGUCUCUUUGUUGCCCUCUGGGGUCCCAGCUGCAUUAUCAUCUGUCUUUGGAAAAAUUGCAUUUAGUAGAACCAGAACUGUCCCAUUUAAUAGUGUUCCCGUGGGAACAACCCGCCUUAAUGAAGUUAUGAGUGUUUUGGGUGGUGUGACUUUUUCUUCAGAGGGCAUGAGUUGAUCUCAUCAGAAGGGACGAUCUACUUGUUUUAGUCUUCAAAGGCCUGUGCAGCCCUCACACGCAGCCAUUUCUCUGCUUUCUAUGGAAGAGGCCCACACUAAAUGAAUAAUUGCAAGUCAUUUGGCAUUAGAUUAACAUUAUGAUUUAUUUUAUCAAUUGCUAUUAGUUUGUACUUGCAGUAUUUCCCUAGAGUACACAACAAACUCUUCUAAGUCCAACUAGAGACACCUAGGGCUGGAGAUGAAGCCAAAGGGAAAUGAAGACCGUUCCCAAAGUAAAAAAUUCAACAUGCAGUCAGUCAGUACGCACUGCUGUCUUCCUGUAGCCAGCCAAAGAGAGUUUCGAGGGUUUUGGUGUGGAGGUGCCAGCUUGUAACCCCGACUCAGGAUCCAGGGCACAAGAUUGCCUUUAGUUCAGACCCAGGCGUGUCACCCUAAGAAGCCCAGCAAGGGCUGCACAGCAAGACCUCAUCUGAGAAAACAGACAAACAAACAAAGAAAACCAGAGGAAACAGCAUAAAGAAUUGGGGAGGACCAGCAGCCCUGGCUUCCCGCUGGACGUACUGUGCCUUUUGGUGGCCAAAUGCCCUUUGUCCAGUGUGGAACUUUGUCAACCAUGGCCACUGCUGUGAUGGCUCACAGUGUGCCAAGAACAAUACUUAAGACCUCUACAGGGUUUAUCUCAUUUAACCCCCAUGGGACCUGCUGUGUCUGUUUUCAAGAGGAGGUUCAGAGAGGUUGAUUAUCCCACCCAAAGUCACAUGACCUCUCGUGACCUCAGCUUUGAAGAUCUGCUGCCUGUCUUCUUCUUCCUCUUCCUUCUUCUUCUGCCCUUCUGGUUUUCUGAGACAAGGUCUUACCUGUAGCCCAGGCUGUCCUGGAACUCACUAUGUAGACCAGGUUGGUCUCAAACUCUCCUGGGUGCUGGAAUCAAAGGCGUGCCACCAUGCCCAGCUGCUUGCGGCUUGUGUUCCUAAAUCACCCUCCCUCCCCCACACCAUUGCCUCUGGUGAAGACCGACUGUCAGGCCACGAUUUCUUUGUAGAAAAAUAAACUGGGAACUUCUGGGCAUUUAAAAAGUGGAUCUGAGUGCCACGUUGGAUGUGAAGAAAGCCAGAGUUGUUAUGGUUGUGUUCCCCGGCCUGAGAAAUGAACUGGCUCCUUUCACCAGGACGGUCUGAGGAACAAUGAAGCUACAAACGGUACCGGACACAUGUAAACACAGUUUUUGUUUGUUUUUUCUUCUGUGAGAACCUCACACUGUAGAUCUGGUCUGGGUCUCGCUGCGUAGCCCAGGCUGGCCUUAAACUCUUGAAAAUCCUCCCACCACAGCCUCCCAGGUAGGAGGCUAAGUAUAAAAGGCAGAAUAACUUUGUGUGGCUGUGAUCUGAUCCCAGGGCCUGGCUGUGGGUCUAAUUCUCCAGGGUUGCAUAUCCCCUUUGCCCGUGCCUCGCCCCCCCCCUCCUGCCUGCACGCAUGUGGUGCACCACUUCCUGCAGUGCCCAGAGGAGACAUCUGCUUCUCUGGGUAGGGCUUACAGAUGGUUGUGAGCCGUCAUGCCGUCAUGUGGGUGUUAGGAAUUGAACCAGGGUCCUCUGGAAGAGCAGCCCUUAACGGCUCUAAUCACAGAGCCAUCUCUUCAGCCCCCACUGAUGUGUUUCUUGCUCUAUGUCUCUGCUAAGAGGUUGCUCUGGUAGUAAUCCCUGCAGCCCCCAGUCAGCUGCCUACACACACCUCAGUCCUAAGACAGGAAGCUGUAGUUAGGCUUUCUAGACAUCGAAACUAUUUUGUUCUUGUCUUCCGAGUUCAUUCAAUGCCCUGCGCUUGGCAGGCCCUCUGUCCUCUGGCCCUCCAGGUAUAUUGCCAAAAACUCGGUGUCAUUUGACCCCAUCUGUGACCUUUGGCACACCCCAGUUUGUGUCCUCUGAGGGAAACUCCUCAAUACAAAUUCUUUGUUUGGUCCUAGCAUCUGCCCCGUUUCUCACCUGCCUUUAUACUGCUGAAUCUUUAACUUAGUCACAAAGGUCAGCAACUAUUCCGUGUCAGUCAUAGCAGCCAAGAGCAAUGUUUACUAAAGUCAAUUUUUUUCCUUCCAGACUUUAAUGUUGUGCAUGUGUGUGCGCCUGUGUGCUUGUGGAGGCCUGAGGCUGAUGUUGGGUGUCUUCCUCCAUGACUUUCCACCUUAUUUACUUAUGUUUCUUAGGCUCUUCCUGAGCCGAGUUCACCAACUGGCUAGACAAUCUGGUCCCAAGCCCCAGGUCUGCAUGUCUCUUCACAGACUCCACUGACGUUGCAGACCAGGGCUGCAUCUGGCAUUUGUGUGGUGCUGGAGGCCUGAACUCAGGUUCCCGUACUUGGCAGGCAAGCAUAUUCCCACCUGAGCCAUCUCUUUAGCACUUUCUUUUAAAUGCUAAAUGCAAUUUAUUUUCUAACACAUACAUAAAACAUACCAGUACACAUGGUCACGGGAUAAAGUUGUAUCUUGAUACAUGUCUGUCUGUUUUCCAGGUGUUUGAAAUGCACAACAUAUUAUACCCAUCUGUGGUCAUCAGGUUUCUGGCAGUGAACUCUCCUAGUCCCUAUGAAUUAGCUGCUCAACAGCCUGAGAGAGCCACCACCCUCCCCUCAGCUGCCAUGAGAGCAGACCUCUCAGGUGUGCCUGAGGGCCUGCAGCAGUUACCUUUCUGUACCUGACUUAGAUUCCAGCCAGGUUGUUAGAAAUGACAGGGACACUUUUUUUUUUUUUGUAAUUUUUUUUUUGUAAUUGAAUUGCAUUCCAGUGUGUGUGUGUGUGUGUGUGUGUGUGUGUGUGUGUGUGUGUGUGUCCCACUCCCCCCACUUUGGUUUUUCAAGACCGGGUUUCUCUGUAUAGCCUUGGAUAUCCUGGAACUUGAUAUGAAGACCAGAUUAAAGGCUUGUACCACCACCUGCCUCUGCUUCCAAGUGCUGGGAUCAAAGGCAUGUACCACCACUGUCCAGUUACUUAUUUGCUCUUAAAAAUACCUUUGUUAAAGUCUUAGGAAUGCAGUUGGCUGUGUUUUCCAGGUGGGCUCUAUCAUUAAGGAGCAAGGUGGGGCUGUCAUACUGGCUCAGGGGGUAAAGGUGACCACUGCCAAGUCCAACAAUCUGGGUUAGGUCCCUAGAACUCAAGGCAGGAAGGUGAGAACCAGCUCUCUUUUGCUGUCCUCUGACCUCCACACAUGUACCCCGGCAUGCAUGCACAUAAAAUAAAUAAAAUAAGAAUAAAAAGGAAGCAAGGUUGGUAUUGAUGGUUUUGUCUGGCCCUUAAGUUUAUGUUAGAGUUUUUCCUGGCAUUUUUUUUUCCUGGAGUAUCAUAAGCAAACAACAAAUAAAAGGGGCAAAAUGUUUGGUGAUCAGAAAAUAGUCUCCAAGGACCAUGCUCUCCUGCUGCAGUUCUGCAGUUUGUUUGCAGCUGAAGGCUGAUGGUUUGUGCAACCAGCCUCUGAAUUCAGCACAGAAGUGAAUGAUUGGGCUUCAAAGUGGCAUUGAUUAAUUAUUGCAGAAAUUUCAAUCAGAGAUAGCAGUUUGAAUUUCCCUUCACUACUUCUGUUUCAGAGGCCACGUGACCCUUUGAGAGUCAAGAUGAAACAAAACUGACUUUGAUUAGUUUCAAAGCAUUGCUCUGGUCUUCUCUACACCCUCCAAGUCCAGGGCCUGGCAAAUAUCCUUCAUUAAGCAAACAUUUAUGGGCUGCCAGCCCUGUUCCUCUACUGGGGAGGGCAGUGGACAGACAGCAGAAAGCAGCUCUUGUUUCUUUGCAUCAGUUGAUGUGAACUUACCACAGGCUCUCUGAUUCUAUCCAGACAGCGUUUUGUAACACGAAAAAUAAAAGACCCAGAGACUGAUAUUGGGGUUCAAGCUUCAAGCUGAAGAUCAGAAAAACAAAGCAACUGGCCACUAGCUCUCACCUCUAGCUCAGGCUGAAAGGGCUGAUCCACAUACGAGCUCUUCACCAAGUCUCAAACUGCUGCCUCUCCUCAGCGUGGCUGGAGAACGAAUGCCUCUCUGAGACCUUGCAUCUGUCUUAUAUACUUCCCUAAUGUUGGGAUUAAAGGUGUGAGCUAUAAUUCUCUUUUAGACUGAUUCACUGUUGUGUAGAUCUGGGUGGCCUUGGACUCAACAGAGAUCCGGCUACCUCUUAAUCGUGAGUCCUAGGAUUUAAGGUGUGUGCCUGGCUUCCGUGGUUUGUGGCUGACUUUGCUUUCUGAAUCCUCAGGCAAGCUUUAAUAAGUCAUAAACAAUACCUCACCACAGAAUUUCCUUUUUCUUGCAGAAAACACACAACAAUGGGGUCCAUGGCAUUUUCAGAGAACUGGUGUGGUUCUUGUUGGAGAAAUUCUCUCUCAAAACAAGAGUCCAAUGGCUGAGACUCUUGGUGAUAAAUAGCUUGCUGUGACAGAGGAACCAUCCUGCUCCCCCACCCCAGUGUCGGAAAAUUAUUUACCAUCCCAUCAGCUGAAGUACCGAAGACAUGUUCUGUUUGAAUUAACUGGGGGAAGAGGGACUCGUGUCAGUCAGCGGGCUGCGAUGAUGGCAGCCGCAGUCUCACGAGGCAGACAAGAAAGAGACAGCAUUAUCCCUGGCGUCCUUGCCCAACUGAUUGGUGCUUUUAGGGUAAUUAAUCCUCGUUUCAAGUAUAAUUGGACUCUUAUUGAUCGAAGCAGCAACGUACGAUGUGGCCCAUGGAACACAGAAAGACAGACUUCCUUCCCAGCAGAACACGGUUAAUUUGAACUCCAGAUCUUUCGCAUUUCAUUCACACACUUGAGCAAGCCCCCUGCUUUGCAACUGAUUUAGGCUGUAAUGUUUUGUGAGCUUAGAUGAGAAUUUAUUGUUAUUUUUUCUUCAGGAACAUAGAUUAUCAGGGAAUUUUCACUGACUUCCGCUUUGCUUAUCAGUUCAGGCACCAGCUUUCCAAAGCUGAGUGAGUCACGCUGCAAUGUUCUAAUGAAUUUCAGAUAGUGUGAAUUAAACAUUGACAAACAUCUGAGAAAACAAAACUACGUGUGAAUUACAAGGGUAGAUACAUUAAAAUUGUGGUUUAACACAGCUACCUUCAUUAAAGAAAAACAAAACAAAAAACCCUAACAGCUCAGGCUGAGCAGCUAGGGAUGCUGUGUGAGCAGGAGCCAAAGGACCAGCGAAGGGGGUUUGUGGGAAGUAGCUCCUGAGGUUCAUUCAGAGUCUGUGCUGGGACCUUUUGUGUGAGAAACUGUGCCUUCAUGUCAGGGAAAGGUGCCUGGGCCAUAGCUUCAGAUGAGAUACACAGUGUUUUUCUCUUCAAAGGCUAGAGAUUACCACUGCAGCAAGAAUGCAAAUUUCUAAACAGAUGAUCAUGACAGAUGAGAACAAAAAGUUGAAAUAAAAAUUUUCAAGUUCUAAUUACUCUUAUCAGCUAAAUCCAAAUCAUCUCAGUAUGUGAGACACACACACACACACAUACACACACACCCGCACACAUGCACACGCACACGCACACGCACACACACAUGCACACGCACACACAAACACAUAGACACAUGAAUUUUUUAUCUGUUUAGUGGCUGUACAUAAAUUUACUGAUAUUUUAAGUAUCCUCUGCCACCCCACAGUCCCUCAGUCAGCACUCUGCUGACCACUUAUGCCAAAGCCUGGUGGGACUUCUGGUCCAACCCCCCCAAAAAGAUAUCACCAUGUAUCCCCCCUUUUUUGUCUAAAAUUUAGAAAAGGUUCUAACUAAUAUAAGAAAAACUAUAUACAAUAAGUAUAACUAUAUACAAUAUAUAUAGGCAAUAAGUACAUCAACAAUGUCUAGUCCAUCAGCAUUUGACAAAUUCAGAGAAAACACUCCAUUAUCUACUCUUUCUUGAUGAGUCCAAAGUCUUGUACCUAAUUUACUUUCUACUCUAAUUUGCACUAACAGGUUAUCUUCUAAUGUCUUUCAAACCCUUUACACUUAACACAUCUUUAGUGAGUUUCUUUACUGAGUCUGGUAAACAAGGAAAAGUAUAUCUCUAUUAUUGAGUCUUCUACUCCCAAAGAGACCAGAAAAGGAAGUAAUAUUAACUGAGUAAACAGGAAGUGCAGGCAAACGACUUCCGAAAAGUGUGAGAAAUGACAGAAACUGCUGGCUGCCUGCACAGCCACCCAGGACUGCUCUGCCACACUGGAGCAUCCAUCUUUGGUCUAUAGGCCGAGCAUGUCUGACAGACGUUUCUGUGAACCAGGAUAUUCUGAAGGACAGGGCUGCCUUGUCUUGGCAAGGUUUGCAGUCACUGUUUUUCAUGUUCUGCUAGUCCAAUUUGGACAGAAUACUCUCAGCAGUUGAGGCAAGGGCACUUUCUUGCCCAAGGGCUUACUUUUAUCGCAAAGAACUCAAACUCCACAUGGAGUUUCUUCAAUGCCCAUCAUCUUCUCUGAAGUAGAUUGUUGCUGCCAGGAGAAGACACGUCUCAUAGUCAUAAAACAAGAAACUCUGUUAUUAAAACGUGUUAAAUGCCAUAUUCUGUAAAUCUCUGAAUAUUUGAAGACCAUCUGUCUUUCUAAAAUAUCUGUUUAACCUUGUAAGCAUACCUAAUGUGACUACAAGUUCGAUUGUAAUAGUUGACUAAUUACUAAACUACAUUUCCUUAUUAUCCCAUAUAGUUGAUAAUAAUAACUUUCAAGGACUAGAAAUUUGUAUUACAUUGUUAAAUGAGCUUUAUAGGUACAAUACCUUGAACAAUAUUAGAAACAUGUGCGCAGUAUGUUUUAGCAAAAUUAAUCUCAAAUUUGUAUCAAUAUACAUUUGUAUACAGUAUAUAAAAAUCCAAUCCAAUGUAAAAUAUUUAAAACUAGUAGUUGCUUUUAAAGAGUAGAUUCAAUAAUUUACCUUUUAAUCUCAUCAUAAUCUACCCUCCCUUUUUUCUUUUCAGGGUAGAUUCAGUAAUCUACCCUUUUUAUACUAUUAUAUCUAGAUGCCUCUUAUUUUCAAAACAAAAACCUUGAAUAUAAUUCCAUUUGUUCAAAUUUCUUCCUGAUCAUAAACAACAACAUUUUGUAACAAAUCCCCCUAAACAAUGACAAAUAUCCAUAACGCAGCGAGUGACCAAAAUCCACCCACCCUACCUCUUGAGAAUGUGGGCACUGUGUUCUUAAAGUUACUUCCUGCUGUGGGGGGGGCAAUGGCAUCUUUAGGGGAUCCUGAAAAGAUAGUUUGGGUUAAUUGUCAAGCUGUAUCAUUUGUUGUCCAGUCUCUGCAUGAUGGGCAAGUCCAAGGCUUCUUUCAAGUGCUGGCUAACGUAGUCUGUGAGGCAGGAACACCUCAGCAAGUCAUCUCAAAAUUGUCAUGAGCAAUUUGUGGUCCAAAGCUGAUCUUUAGUUGGUGUUGUUCAGCAUAAUGGUGUUGUGAUAGUCCUGGUGAAAUUGUCGUUGUGGGGCCCCGUCCUCAUUUGGAGACUUCAAAAGGUUGCUGUUAGGCGUGGCCAUGGUUUACUGUAGAAAACUGAUACUCAAACCAGAAAUCAUGUACAGGAAGGUAGACAAAACCCUUUUCUAGAAUUGGUUAGUACUCUAUAUGACCAUUAAUAUCAUGACAAAAAUUAUGAGAUUAGUAGCAAUACAAUAGUCCUAAAUAUUUGCUUUUCUUCUAUUCCAUAUCAGAUGGCUCUUCUGACAUGAGACAGAGAUUUUGAAUUUUACUUUAACAAGCAUGCUUGGGUUUAGAGAAGGAGAGAGCCACACUCCAGCUCCAAAGCCAGUUUUUAAUAUUUAAUUGGACUGGGACUACCAAAGAUCAUUCAUAUACAUGUCUGUAGGGGAAAAAGGUACAAACAUUUGGGAAGAUUUGUGAACUUUUACCCUGUGGUAAAUGUGAUACACAAAUAGGCCGAUCUGCUCUUUUUCUUGGGACAAUUAUCCUAGAUGAUUUAUUCUUUUCCUUCAGAUGUCUCAUUUGUCCAGUCGUCUCCAGAUUCAUUAGCUGGAGACCUUUCUUUUCCUGGAAAGACAAAGAUAAAACCCUUCCCCAACCCUAAAUUUUGGAGAGGUUCUCCUUGGCAAGUUAUAUCUGAUCAAAUAAAAGCAUUUGUUAGUUUUAUAGGUUAGUUUAGAUUAAAUGAUCAUGCUGCUUGAUGAACUAUCAUCUCUUUUAAUUAAGAGGUGUCAUGUUUAAAUUGAAUCUUUAUUAAUUUUGAUGCUAUCCAUAUUUUUUCUGUGGAAACAAAAGCAAAACCUCUCCCCCAAUGUAACACGUGUCCUGGUUUCCAUUCAGAGGUCAGCACAUCUUUGAAGUACACUGACUGGUUUAAUUCUCUAGUUUUCUUUAUUAGCCAAUGUCUCUCUGAAGCUGUUGUUCCUUUCUCAUUAUCAUUCAGAAAAUUCAAAGUUAAUAAAGCACCGUG
ensembl:lncRNA